rnacentral:tRNA from 1 species
AGAGGGUAGCUCAGGGGUAGAGUGCAUGCCUAGCAUGCAUGAGGUCCUGGGUUCAAUCCCCAGUGCCUCCA